GAAGUCGGUAGUGAAUCUGGUGGCUCAACCAUUCAGGCUACUAUCGAAACUUCUAAGCUCGAGACCGUUAGGGUAACUGGAAUUUCUAGUGUAGGAGUGAAAUCCGUAGAUAUUAGAAAGAACACCGAUAGCGUAGGCAGGUUACUGGGCGGUUCUGACACUAAGGCACGAAAGCGUAGGGAGCAAACGGGAUUAGAUACCCCGGUAGUCUACGCUGUAAACGAUGGAUACUA
rnacentral:rRNA from 1 species